rnacentral:rRNA from 1 species
AAUCAACGCUGGCGGCGUGCCUAACACAUGCAAGUCGAACGCGAAAGCCCGCAAGGGUAAGUAGAGUGGCGCACGGGUGAGUAACACGUGGACAACCUGCCUUCGAGUGGGGAAUAACCUUCCGAAAGGAGGGCUAAUACCGCAUAACACCUCGGGACAUAAGUUUUGGGGUUGAAAAGAGCAAUUUGCUCGAAGAGGGGUCCGCGCCUGAUUAGCUAGUUGGUGAGGUAACGGCUCACCAAGGCUUCGAUCAGUAGCGUCCUGAGAGGGAGCACGGCCACACUGGAACUGAGACACGGUCCAGACUCCUACGGGAGGCAGCAGUGGGAAUUUUUGGCAAUGGGCGAAAGCCUGACCAAG